rnacentral:rRNA from 1 species
UACGUAGGGGGCAAGCGUUGCUCGGAAUUACUGGGCGUAAAGGGAGUGCAGGCGGCCGGUUAAGUCAAAGAUGAAAUCCCGAGGCUUAACUUCGGAAUGGUCUUUGAUACUGAUCGGCUUGAGGCUGGUUGAGGAGAGCGGAAUUCCCGGUGGAGCGGUGAAAUGCGUAGAUAUCGGGAGGAACACCAGAGGCGAAGGCGGUUCUCUAAACUAGUCCUGACGCUGAGACUCGAAAGCUAGGGGAGCAAACGGG